rnacentral:rRNA from 1 species
GUGGGGAAUCUUGCGCAAUGGGCGAAAGCCUGACGCAGCCAUGCCGCGUGAAUGAUGAAGGUCUUAGGAUUGUAAAAUUCUUUCACCGGGGACGAUAAUGACGGUACCCGGAGAAGAAGCUCCGGCUAACCUCGUGCCAGCAGCCGCGGUAAUACGAAGGGGGCUAGCGUUGCUCGGAAUUACUGGGCGUAAAGGGCGCGUAGGCGGACAGCUUAGUCAGAGGUGAAAGCCCAGGGCUCAACCUUGGAAUUGCCUUUGAUACUGGCUGUCUUGAGUUUGGGAGAGGUGAGUGGAACUCCGAGUGUAGAGGUGAAAUUCGUAGAUAUUCGGAAGAACACCAGUGGCGAAGGCGACUCACUGGCCCAAUACUGACGCUGAGGCGCGAAAGCGUGGGGAGCAAACAGGAUUAGAUACCCCAGUAGUCC